rnacentral:rRNA from 1 species
UGCGAACUCCUACGGGAGGCAGCAGUAGGGAAUCUUCCGCAAUGGACGCAAGUCUGACGGAGCAACGCCGCGUGAGUGAAGAAGGUUUUCGGAUCGUAAAACUCUGUUGUUAGAGAAGAACAAGUGCUAGAGUAACUGUUAGCGCCUUGACGGUAUCUAACCAGAAAGCCACGGCUAACUACGUGCCAGCAGCCGCGGUAAUACGUAGGUGGCAAGCGUUGUCCGGAUUUAUUGGGCGUAAAGCGAGCGCAGGCGGUUCCUUAAGUCUGAUGUGAAAGCCCCCGGCUCAACCGGGGAGGGUCAUUGGAAACUGGGGAACUUGAGUGCAGAAGAGGAGAGUGGAAUUCCAUGUGUAGCGGUGAAAUGCGUAGAUAUAUGGAGGAACACCAGUGGCGAAGGCGACUCUCUGGUCUGUAACUGACGCUGAGGCUCGAAAGCGUGGGUAGCAAACAGGAUUAGAUACCCUUGUAGUCCUAUC